rnacentral:rRNA from 1 species
GACGUAGGGCGCGAGCGUUGUCCGGAUUUAUUGGGCGUAAAGAGCUCGUAGGCGGCUUGUCGCGUCAACUGUGAAAACCCGUGGCUCAACCAUGUGGUCUGCAGUCGAUACGGGCAGGCUAGAAUUCGGUAGGGGAGACUGGAAUUCCUGGUGUAGCGGUGAAAUGCGCAGAUAUCAGGAGGAACACCGGUGGCGAAGGCGGGUCUCUGGGCAGUAACUGACGCUGAGGAGCGAAAGCGUGGGGAGCGAACAGG